UGGGAGCCUAUCAUAGAUGUUCUCUAAAAGACUCCACCCAGCAGGAGAUUGAAGCAGAUGCUGAGACUCAAAAACCAAACUAUGGGCAGAGUGCAGAAAGUCUUACAGAAGAAGAGAGAUAAAGACCUGGAGAGGACAGGAGCUCCAGAAGAAGACCAAUAAAGCCAACAAAUCUGGAACUAGGAGGAAUAUGCAGAGAGUGAUGCACCAACCAAGGACGAUGUAUGGAGAAAGCCUAGAACAACAAAACUUGUUAAGGUCAUCCAAAAACCAAAGCUUUUGUAACUCUUGGUGGAACCAAUGGCAUCUAUGAAUCAAUCUAUCAUGGCAUUCCUAUAGUUUCUGUGCCAUUGUUUGAAGAUCAACCUGAUAAUAUUAAUCACAUGGUAGCCAAGGGAGCAACUGUUAGAGAUUUUAACAUACUGCCAACUAUAGACCUUCUCACUGCCUUGAGGACUCUCAUUAAUGACCCUUUGUGAGACUGUUACUUUUGUUUGAAAAAAAAGUUUUAAUAUAAGGUGGAUUCAUUUUUUUUCUCUUUUGAGAUUGUGUUUCAUUAAAUAAACACAAGACUGGCUUCAAACCUAUAAA